AACGAACGCUGGCGGCAGGCCUAACACAUGCAAGUCGAGCGCCCAGCAAUGGGAGCGGCAGACGGGUGAGUAACACGUGGGAACCUUCCCUAUAGUACGGAAUAGCCCAGGGAAACUUGGAGUAAUACCGUAUACGCCCGAGAGGGGAAAGAUUUAUCGCUAUAGGAUGGGCCCGCGUAGGAUUAGCUAGUUGGUGAGGUAAUGGCUCACCAAGGCGACGAUCCUUAGCUGGUUUGAGAGAACGACCAGCCACACUGGGACUGAGACACGGCCCAGACUCCUACGGGAGGCAGCAGUGGGGAAUAUUGGACAAUGGGCGCAAGCCUGAUCCAGCCAUGCCGCGUGAGUGAUGAAGGCCUUAGGGUUGUAAAGCUCUUUUAGCAGGGAAGAUAAUGACUGUACCUGCAGAAUAAGCUCCGGCUAACUUCGUGCCAGCCGCCGCAGUAAUAC
rnacentral:rRNA from 1 species